rnacentral:rRNA from 1 species
GUGAGGAAUUUUCCGCAAUGGGCGAAAGCCUGACGGAGCAAUGCCGCGUGAAGGAUGAAGGCCUAUGGGUUGUAAACUUCUUUUCUCAGAAAAGAAUUAUGACGGUAUCUGAGGAAUAAGCAUCGGCUAACUCUGUGCCAGCAGCCGCGGUAAGACAGAGGAUGCAAGCGUUAUCCGGAAUGAUUGGGCGUAAAGCGUCUGUAGGUUGUUUAAAAAGUAUUCUGUCAAAGAUUAGGGCUUAACCCUAGAUAGGCAGAAUAAACUUUUAAGCUAGAGUUUGGUAGAGGCAGAGGGAAUUCCCGGUGGAGCGGGGAAAUGCGUAGAUAUCGGGAGGAACACCAAAGGCGAAGGCACUCUGCUGGGCCAAUACUAACACUGAGAGACGAAAGCGAGGGGAGCAAAUGGGAUUAGAUACCCCUGUAGUCC